GACAGAGGGUGCAAACGUUGCUCGGAAUUACUGGGCGUAAAGGGCUCGUAGGCGGCCAACUAAGUCAGACGUGAAAUCCCUCGGCUUAACCGGGGAACUGCGUCUGAUACUGGAUGGCUUGAAUCCGGGAGAGGGAUGCGGAAUUCCAGGUGUAGCGGUGAAAUGCGUAGAUAUCUGGAGGAACACCGGUGGCGAAGGCGGCAUCCUGGACCGGCAUUGACGCUGAGGAGCGAAAGCCAGGGGAGCAAACGGG
rnacentral:rRNA from 1 species